rnacentral:rRNA from 1 species
UACGUAGGGUCCGAGCGUUGUCCGGAAUUAUUGGGCGUAAAGGGCUCGUAGGCGGUCUGUCGCGUCGGUAGUGAAAACUUACAGCUUAACUGUGAGCGUGCUUCCGAUACGGGCAGACUUGAGGUAUUCAGGGGAGAACGGAAUUCCUGGUGUAGCGGUGAAAUGCGCAGAUAUCAGGAGGAACACCGGUGGCGAAGGCGGUUCUCUGGGAAUAUCCUGACGCUGAGGAGCGAAAGUGUGGGGAGCGAACAGG